rnacentral:lncRNA from 1 species
AACAGUCCCCUCCGACAGAGAACUGUUUCUGGCAAAUCUUUCCGCGAUCGUUUCCCACUUCUUCCCGGAGCAUUUGUCGACCCCCAGGCAAGCCAACCUCUUAUCAUGAGCCCCGAACUUGCAUGUUGACUUUGCUUGCACCUUGUGUGUGUGUAAUUGUAGUUGUUUCACAUCAUUUUCGUAUGCCGUUAUUAUGCCUGUUAUGCAUGCUUGUGUUUUCAUGAUAUCUUUUGUCAUGCUAAUUAAAAUGUUGUUAUUGAUAAUGCCAUGUCACUACUCUACUUUAUUUGCAUGUCAUCGUUAUAAAAUGUUAUGAGGAUUGUAAUGCACCGUUGAUAUGCUAUUACUUGGUAUUGUCAUGUUCUUUAUGCUAUAGCUGUGCACUUGAGUAGUUCAAUAUUUUGUUCAUGCAAUCGUAUGCUGCAUGCUCAUUGUUGCAUUCAUGUUCAUGAUGAUGGAGAAGGAAUUAAAAUGACUUAAUAAUAGCAAACCUCCUCCGUCAUCGAUGGGAUCGAGUCAUAGUGCAACCAAAUCGAACUUUUUCAGUGCAGCCACAUUUGCCUUUGUGGGAAGGCCUUAAUGCGAGCUAUUGUCGUGACCUCUCGCCGGUGCCUCCCACUAGGGAAGCUUAUGGGCGUGCUUACCUUGAUCAGGUAAGCGGACAUAACCUUGUGUGCUCGUUUUUGAGAUUUUUGGUACCAGUCCCCGAGUGGGAGUGUCCCGGAGUGGGAGUUGACCACGACGGUGGUCGGGCUGUCUUUGGUAGACACGGGGCCACCCGGGACCAGCCCAUUGGGGAUUGGGUCGGAGUGGCCGGGAGAGCGUCAUGGCAGUAGAUUGGUUUGGUCGGAAUGUCGUUGGUCCACCCGAAUGGGAUGAUGAGGCCAUAGGUUCCGUGGUGUGGGUACAGUGUGCUACCUCUGCAGAGUGUAUAAAGUCUAUCGAUAGCAACAGUUCGUAGUAGGUCCCACUAUCAGGUCUUGGUCGAAAUAGAAGAUAAACCUUAAAUAACUAAGUUGGUAAUGAAAUUGUGUAACAAAUAAUGUGAAGACUUGGACUAUGAGAUAGUCGUGAGAAGUCACGACGAUGUUUUGAUAUAAUCACGAAACGAGAUCUCGAUGAGUGUUGGAGACCAAGUGUUGGUCAUGGUUGUGAUCGCCGGAAAGAUCACCGUUCGGUUGCAAGGCAACCCGUUGGUAAGAAAGUCCGAGGGACUCGGUGCACAAGUUUGGUUGCAUUACAUGAGUAAUAUGUUGCAUUUAAAAACCAAGGCAGAACAGAAGAUGAUUGCAUAAACUUAACAUGCUAUGUCUGCAUUGGAUAUAAUCGGUAGUUUAUUUUCAGCAUAGUUUCAUGAUGCCAUGCCAUUUUUUGAUUUAUAUGUUAAAUUAUGCCAUGAUUGAGACGAUAUGCUAUGUUUUGCUAUUACCAUGUUAUAAGCAUGUUUUGAGAUGCCGUGUUAUUGCCAUGAUAGUAGAUGUUAUGAUUUUGUUCAUGCUUAGUUGAUUUUUAUCAUGCCAUGUUUAGUAAUUGAUAUGAGAUAGGGUGUUGCAUGCGCUCGGUUCUUGCUUUGUCUGCAGCUUGUUUGGAUGCUAUGUAUUUGGUUGUCUUGCAAGUACAUUCAAUGUACUGACCUGGCGUGUCAUCCCAGUUUUGUAGGUCGUACCCGUAUUGCUCGCUUGAUCCGUCGUGCUAGGCCGUAAUCUUGCCAGUCCUGUGAGUUGUGGAUCCCAGCCAGAGUUGUUAUGCUGCCAAACCAAGACUUUCGCCGCCAUUUU